rnacentral:rRNA from 1 species
GACGUAGGGGGCGAGCGUUAUCCGGAUUCACUGGGCGUAAAGGGCGCGCAGGCGGCUACGUAAGUCCGGCGUGAAAUCCCAUGGCUUAACUGUGGAACUGCGUCGGAUACUGCGUUGGCUUGAGGACGGUAGAGGCUUUUGGAACUAGCGGUGUAGCGGUGAAAUGCGCAGAUAUCGCUAGGAACGCCGGUGGCGAAGGCGGAAAGCUGGGCCGAUCCUGACGCUGAGGCGCGAAAGCUAGGGGAGCGAACCGG